rnacentral:tRNA from 1 species
GCCGACGUGGCGGAAUAGGUAGACGCGCUACCUUGAGGUGGUAGUGGCCAAAGGCUGUGGGAGUUCGAAUCUCCCCGUCGGCACCA